rnacentral:tRNA from 1 species
UGUCCGGGGAUGGGAAUCGAACCCACAAUGUUCCGCUUACCGGGCAGAUGCCAUGUCCACUAGGCUACCCUGGAC